GAUCAUGGCUCAGGAUGAACGCUGGCGGCGUGCUUAACACAUGCAAGUCGAGCGAAGCGCUUUUGCGGAUUUCUUCGGGUUGAAGCAACUGUGACUGAGCGGCGGACGGGUGAGUAACGCGUGGGUAACCUGCCUCAUACAGGGGGAUAACAGUUGGAAACGGCUGCUAAUACCGCAUAAGCGCACAGUACCGCAUGGUACCGUGUGAAAAACUCCGGUGGUAUGAGAUGGACCCGCG
rnacentral:rRNA from 1 species